AUUGAACGCUGGCGGCAGGCUUAACACAUGCAAGUCGAGCGAGCGGCGGACGGGUGAGUAAUGUCUGGGAAACUGCCUGAUGGAGGGGGAUAACUACUGGAAACGGUAGCUAAUACCGCAUACCAUCAGAUGUGCCCAGAUGGGAUUAGCUAGUAGGUGGGGUAAUGGCUCACCUAGGCGACGAUCUCUAGCUGGUCUGAGAGGAUGAUCAGCCACACUGGAACUGAGACACGGUCCAGACUCCGACGGGAGGCAGCAGUGGGGAAUAUUUCACAAUGGGCGCAAGCCUGAUGCAGCCAUGCGGCGGGUGUGAAGAAGGCCUUAGGGUUGUAAAGCCCUGUCAGCGAGGAGGCGUUACUCGCAGAAGAAGCACCGGCUAACUCCGGGCCAGCAGCCGCGGUAAUUC
rnacentral:rRNA from 1 species